CGUGGCUUUAGUCUUCAUUGGGUUCUAUGCGGUUGGGCGGGGCUUAAGGAAGGGGGCGUGGCUUCAAGUCCCUUUGAGUUGCAUGGGGUGGGCGGGGCUUAAAGAAGGCCGGAAGUGGACGGGAACGAAUGAAUUGGGGGGAGUGGCUUCUGGACGGAAGUGAUCCAGGGGGCGUGGCUUAAAGCUCUCGAUCCCAUUGGUCGUUAUGUCAGUGGGCGUGGCUCUGAGACAGAGUAGGCGUGGCCAAAGCCCCCAUUUUCCGUAUGGGUUGGGCAGGCCGGAAGUGGGCAACAAUGGAUGAAUGAAUUAAUGAAUGAAGGGGCGUGGCUUCUGACCGGAAGUGAGCCAGGGGGCGUGGUCUAAAGGCCUCGACCCCAUUGGGCCUUUUGUCAGCUGAGGGAAAAGGGGGCGUGGCCAAAGUCCCAUUCUACGUAUCGGUCGGGCAGGCCGGAAGUGGGCGGGAACGAAUGAAUGAAGGGGCGUGGCUUCUGACCGGAAGUGAGCCCGGAGGCGUGGCUUAAAGGCCUCGGCCCCAUUGGGCUCUGAGGCAAAGUGGGCGUGGCCAAAACCCCCCCAUUCUGCCUACGGGGUGGAAGUGAGAGGGGAAUGAAUGAAGAAGGGGGAAGUUGGGGGCGUGGUUUCCGGCCGGAAGUUGGAGGUAACACCGGUCCCGCCCCCUUCCUUCCGUCAUGGCCGCAGUGUACGACGUGCUGACGGGCGCCACCGUGCGGAGGUUGGCUCAUCCCGGCGGCUGCGUCCGCGAUGUCUGCUGGCAUCCGGCCGGGGGGCGGCUCGUCAGCGCCUCGGUACGUCCUUGGGGAGGGACUUCCGGUUGGGAAAAGAGGGGGAGGGAAGACGGCUUCCGGUUUGGUGGGUUUGGGAUGGGACGAUUUCCGGUUUGGGGAAGUGGGAAAGAGGGACUUCCGGUUUGGGGGUUGGGGGGUGGAGACGACUUCCGGUUGAGGGUGUUGGAGGGUGGACUUCCGGUUUUGGGGUUGGGAAUGGGGACGACUUCCUGUUCGGGGGUGUGAGAGGGAGGGACUUCCGGUGUGUGUGUUGGGGGGAUGGGACGACUUCCGGUUUUCGGAGGUGUUGGAAGGGGGGACAUCCGGUUUGGGAGAGGAGUGGGGUGACUAUGGGGUGGUUAUGGGGCUCUGUGAGUCUCUAUGGGUCCCUAUGGGAUCUGUGGGUCUCUAUGGGGUUCUAUGGGAUCUGUGGGUCUCUAUGGGUUUCUAUGGGUCCCUAUGGGGCUCUAUGGGUCUCUAUGGGUCCCUAUGGGAUCUGUGGGUCUCUCUGGGGCUCUAUGGGUCCCUAUGGGGCUCUAUGGGGCUCUAUGGGUCCCUAUGGGAUCUGUGGGUCUCUAUGGGUCUCUAUGGGUCCCUAUGGGAUCUGUGGGUCUCUAUGGGAUCUAUGGGUCCCUAUGGGGUCGGUAUGGGUCUCUAUGGGAUCUGUGGGUCUCUAUGGGAUCUAUGGGUCUCUGUGGGUCUUUAUGGGGUCUAUGAGGUUCCUAUGGGUCCCUAUGGGGUCUUUAUUGAAUCUAUGGGGUCUCUAUGGGUCUGUAUGGGUUUUUUUUGGUGUCCCUAUGGGUCCCUGUGGGUCUCCGUGGGUCUCUAUGGGGUCCCUAUGGGUCUCUAUGGGGUUUUAUGGGUUCCUAUGGGUCCCUAUGUGUCCCUAUGGAUCUUUAUGGGUCUCUAUGGGGUUUUUUUGGUGUUCCUAUGGGUCUCUAUGGGGCCUAUGGGGUCUCUAUGGGUCCCUAUGGGAUCUAUGGGUCUCUAUGGCAUCUAUGGGUCCCUAUGGGGUCUCUAUGGGGCUCUAUGGGAUCUGUGGGUCUCUAUGGGUCUCUAUGGGGUUUUAUGGGUUCCUAUGGGUCCCUAUGGGUCCCUAUGGAUCUUUAUGGGUCUCUGUGGGGUUUUUUUGGUGUCCCUAUGGGUCCCUAUCCUUCUCUAUGGGUCUUUAUGGGAUCUAUGGGGCUCUAUGGGCUCUCUAUGGGCUCUCUAUGGGAUCUGUGGGUCUCUAUGGGGUCCCUGUGGGGCUCUAUGGGAUCUACGGGUCUCUAUGGGUCUCUAUGGGUCUCUGUGGGUCCCUAUGGGUCCCUAUGGGAUCUGUGGGUCUCUGUGGGUCCCUAUGGGUCUGUAUGGGGUCUCUAUGGGAUCUAUGGGUCCCUAUGGGUCUCUAUGGGGUCUUUAUGGGAUCUAUGGGUCUCUAUGGGUCUCUAUGGGGCCCUGUGGGUCUGUAUGGGGCUCUAUGGGUCCCUAUGGGGCUGUAUGGGAUCCCUAUGGGUCUCUAUGGGAUCUGUGGGUCCCUAUGGGUCUCUAUGGGUCCCUAUGGGUCUCUGUGGGUCUCUAUGGGGCUCUAUGGAGCUCUAUGGGGUCUCUAUGGGGUCUCUAUGGGAUCUGUGAGUCUCUAUGGGGCUCUAUGGGAUCUGUGGGUCUUUAUAGGGUCUCUAUGGGGCUCUAAGGGUCCCUGUGGGUCUUUAUGGGGCUCUGUGGGUCUCUAUGGGAUCUGUGGGUCCCUAUGGGUCUCUGUGGGUCUCUAUGGGGCUGUAUGGGAUCUAUGGGGUCUCUAUGGGAUCUGUGGGUCCCUAUGUGUCCCUAUGGGUCUCUAUGGGGUUUCUAUGGGUCCCUCUGUGGUCUCUAUGGGAUCUGUGGGUCCCUAUGGGUCUCAAUGGGAUGUGUGGGUCACUAUGGGUCUGUAUGGGGUCUCUAUGGGAUCUGUGGGUCUCUAUGGGAUCUAUGGGGUCUAUGGGUCCCUAUGGGUCUCUGUGGGGCUCUAUGGGUCCCUAUGGGUCCCUAUGGGUCUCUGUGGGGCUCUAUGGGAUCUAUGGGGUCUA
ensembl:lncRNA